GAGUUGUUCUGGACCUGCAGAGGCAUAUUCUCUGGUGACUUCUGUCGCAGCAACAUCUCAGCCCAUAUCUGAAGGUGAUUUGGUCAACAAACAACAGAAAAAGGGAAAUCUGGAGGAAAAUGAGAAUGUUUAUCACCUGUACUCCACAAUCCCUGACAAACCAGUUCUUUCAAACGCAGAAGAUCACAUGUACAGUUUGGUGGACAUGCACUGAUGAAUCUCAUGUCUGUGUUUAUUAUGUACAGCCACUAUACUGCAAAUAAAAUAUC